UUAGAGAUUGUUUGCAAACAUACCUCACAAUUGAUCACUGCGUACUGGUGAGUCGCCAAACCAUGAAUGAGAACAUCUGAUGUGUGUGAAGAUUAAAGAACAAGGGGUUUGAAAUCAGUUCUAUUUUCAAGUUUUCAAGGCGUUUCACCUAUUGAGUAUCAACAGGUUCCAUCUAAAUGAGAUAAUGCUCUUUCAAGAAAUUCUUAUUGAUAGUUCAAAUUACCGUAACUCUAUGAUCCAUGGCCUUUUUUUCUAAGUAGAGUUUUAUUGGAACACAGCCACACCCACUCAUUUACGUAUUGUCUAUGGCUGCUUUCAGGCUGCAACAGCAAAUUUGAGUAGUUCUGGCAAAGACUGUAUGACCACCCACAAGGCCUAAAAUAUUUACUGUCUGGCCUUUUACAGGAAAACUUUGCUAACCCGUACUGUAAGUAGUCCUAUCUUUUAGGUUCAAAUUGAACCUAUCUUUUAGGUUCAUAAUCCAAAGGGGCUCAACAUCCCAAAAUACUGUUUGAAUCAUCAGAGAAAGUUGUGGUUGGGAGAGUAGUACAUUAGGGCCUGCACUAACCUACAUGGUGCCUUUGUGCAGAUUGGGGAAAGGUGCUCCUUUAGACGUUCACUGUAAUAUCGUACUUAUUUCUAUAACAAGACUCUUACUGCCAUCUGCCAUAAAAGUACUUCAUAAUGUUUGCAAUAUGACUUGCACUCCCCUGUACAACUGUAUGCAGCAGCCCCAUAUAGUAAUGUGGUCUGGUAAAAAGAACACCACUUGGAGUCACAGACCUGGGUUCCACUUCCAGCUCUGAAACUAACCUGCUGAUAUCUUGGGCAAGCCACAUAAUCUGACUAGGCCUCUGUUUUCUUACCUUUAAAAUGUAAAUAGCUUAAAGUUGUUUUGAGAAAUUAAAUAAGUUAGUAGACAUAAUGUUGCUUUUUAAAGGCUUACAGCUCUGCGAAAUCAAACUCCAAUUAUGUUUUGGACAGCUUCUAUAGUUCUAGAAGUGUAAUAGGUCCUGAAGAGAAUGAAAUUUGUUUAAAGAGCUUAUAAUCUAACUGGAAAGUUGUGCACAUGAACUGCACUGGAAAGUUACAAUCUAACAUAAAAAAAUUGUGUAUGUUUGAACUAAUUGGAGCACUGGUAAGACUGAUUUGCAAUUACUGACCUCCUACUAUAUGCCAGAUGUUGUGCUAAGCUCCUAACAUGCUUUAUCUCACAUGUGUGAUCUUUAUAUUAGCCGUAUAAUGUAGGUAUUAUUAUCUCCAUUUUACAAAUAAGGAAAAAUAAUUGUCAUUUAUUACUCAUUUACUAUGUUCUAAAUACUAUUCUAAGUGCUUUAUAUAUUUUAACUCAUUUUAACUCAUUUUCAUCCUCACAAUACCCUAUCAGAUAGGUACCACUAUUCCCAUUUUCAUCUGAGGAAAUUUAUUCAGAGAUUAAAUUAGUGCUUUCCCAUCUUUUUCGCAGGAUGGCACACAUAGAAAAUUCUAAUAUUUGUUUGACAUCCUGGGAUAAAUUUGAGGGGAUUUGGGGCACCUAUAUAGGGCUUGGUGAAAAAUUCAGUACUGUAUUAAUAAUUUGACUCACUGAGAUGCUUCAGUGGAGGAUUAGGAGAGGUAUACAUGAGGUAGUCACUCAGACCACUCUGGCCGUGGGUACUAAGUGUAAAGUAUGCAGCAAAAUAACAAAGACUGUUCAAGAAAUCUCACAGGAAGCCAUACAAAUAUUGUUCAAAUGUUAACUUCAACUGUUGUAAAAUGAAUACUUACAAAAAUUGCUUUAAAUAUUUUAUCAAAAGAAUGUACAACCAAUAGUGUUUUGUGGUGUACCUACAACCUAUUCGUGCUUGGUAGCUCUGUUAAAUUACUUGCAAGACAAAUGGCUAAUAGGUGGUUGACUUGAAUCCAGUCACAUGAAACUGCCUGACUCUUAAGUCUGUUCUUCUAGCCUCUGUACAGUCUUGCCCUCCAGCAGUGAAAAACCAACCUGUGUGACUCAUACUUCAUUUCUCCUUAAGAGUAUUUUAUUAUUUGAAGUUUGAUCAUCGAGGCUCACUCUAAGGAUGAAGUUAUUAACCAUGGUCUCCAAUUAACCUUGUUCCCCAUCCCAUUGCCGUACAGUUUUAGAACUGGCAUUCCACACUUUCUCCUAUUCACUCUCUACCCAUAUUCACAACAGGAAAUAGAUGGGCAGGCGAGACAAGUGAAGAUUCUGUGAGUCGAUGGGCAGCAGACUGCCCCUGCGCUCUGGAGACCCCUGCUUGGGCUGCCUGUCUUUGAACCUCGGCUUGCCUGCAUCCGCUGGAAGUUGAGUCCUAGCAGAGUGUCCAUUCCCAGCUCAGCCUGCUGUGCUUACAUAGAGAUGCUAGAUUAUAAUAAAUGACUCUCACUUACCCUACCCCUAAAUGCAGGAGGAACUCUACAUGUGAUUCUAUUUGCCUUCUGUGCUUCAAAAGAUAUACCUCUGAGCAGAAACAAUUUCCCCGGUGUGCAUCAGAUCGCCCACCAUCCCCGUGCAGGUAAAUAUUCUGUGACUGUAGUUAUAUAUAUAUAUAGUUUUCAUCUGACGCUUGAUAUUUCGUGUGUGUUUUACCUAAUGAUGGUUUGUCUAAUUUCCAAGCCCACUUGCAUUUGAAUUUCAUACUCCCAGCUCCUGCAGGGUGGGGAAAGCUUAAGGAGGUAGAAGACACAGAUGGUAUUUUAUUUCUGUCUUUGUCUGGCGUGCUGAGUGACUGGUCUGCAGGUGGUGAUAUGUGGCAGGACGUCUGGGGCAAGGUUAGUGACCCAUUAAGGUGUCCUGAACUCUGAUUAGAGAGAGCUUGGAGCAAACAGAGCUGUCAACUCUCAGUUUCUUUUUGAUUAACCUUCUUCCUCUUAACCCCUGGAGGCCACUUAUCCUUCCCACCCCUAAGAAAAGACAGCGUUAAAGCCUGAGGUCAUUGCUCAGUGAAAGCCUCGGGAGCUGAUUGGGCCAGAAAGGGCCUCUGUCAGCAGUCAUUCCAUUAUCAGACUCUCUAGUGACAGGUGAGCUCAUGCCCUGUGAUUCACGGAGCUCCUAAGCUAAAAUGGCUCUCAGAGGAGCAGCUUCUCAAGGAAGAGUGAAGAUGCUUACGGAAACCUACUGAUGCGGUUGUACCUGAAAGGGGAUUAAAGUGGCUUAAUUCAAAUUUUGCAAUUUAGAAAGCACCUGUUGCACGCCACCCUUUGUCUGAGAGAAGUGUUUUCAGUAGCUGAUCCCUGGUGAAUCCAUGCAGAAGGCCACCUCCCCACGAGUGGGCUGCGUCUGUGAGUGAGCAGUGAACUGCUUCUUCCUCAGGAGUGAUGGAGUUCAGCAACGAGUAAGGGGAGAGCAGGUUCUGCCUGCAACUGCUUUUCUUGGCAGUUGGUUAGUG